ACAAAGAGCGAUGACGUGUGUGUGUACUCAUUGAAUGAUGACGUAAAUGUGUACUCAUUGAAUGGUGACGUAGUAUCUACACAAAGAACGCUGACGUUGUUGAUAUAGGUGUACUCAUCGAAUGAUGACGUAGUGGGGAGAUAUUUGCUCACAAGACAAACGUGUGUGCCUCAGUGACAGAGACCUGGUCUAUCUCCUGGACACGAGGAGAGAGCAAAGGUCAACCAGAAACUGGAGGAGGCUGUUUCCAUCUGUACUUUCAACCUGUGCUGAAAGUGGCUUGAAAGAGCAUCAAAACUGGUCCCUCACACCGGUGGAGCAACUGGCUGUUGCUAUGGAGAGAAGCUUUCUACGUAAAACAUCAUCUUUUUCCGAGUUGAACAUUCCAAAAAUUCCUGCUGGCCCAGCCACUGGAAGUGAGGGUGUUUCUGAAAACUUGCACAAUGGGCGUGAUCCCAACAGUCGUCUGUACCUGAGUGCCAAAGAAAUCUCGCCCUUCCUUGAGAUACCGCCAUAGUUCUCAACACUACACUCAACCAUUCACCUAAGAAACGCGAUUCUACAGACGGGCAGUGUUCCCUGCCGUAUGUGAGAGACGAUCCCUGUGGUCUGAGGCCGGUCAAGCCAGUGCCGAUAUGGAGUCAGUAUCUCUCUGACCGCUCCUCUCUACCUGUGUGUGGGAAGAAAACUGUGGUAGGGGAGAAUGUCAAAAAAAUGUCAAUGAUGUCUUCAGAACGUCAGAACCUGACAGAAAUGUUCAGCUAUCUGUCCGGAGAACAUUCACGACGCUACCAUGUUGAAGGGGACAUCAGCGCUGCUUACUCAGAGAUGGUCAUCAACAGGACCUGUCGGUAGAUUUGACUGGACGAAAGAUGAAGCAGACAAAGAGAUGUGGAUAACUGAGUGGAUCUGUGUGGAUCGGAAAAAACCCUCAUAUCUAGCUCAUCCCGAAUAUUCCCCACUAUUUUUUAGCUCAUCCCCAGUAUUUUUUUAUAUGAUCCCUAUUAUU
rnacentral:misc_RNA from 1 species